GGCCCAACUGAAAAACACCACAUCCGCUACUUGCAACGAGUCUGCAGUGUCACACGGCUGCAUGCUCUGGCCCAAAGAGUGCUGCAGGUCCAGUCCUGCCAGUUUAUCCUGUAUCAGCUCCCUUUAGGGCUGAAGAGAGCCGUAUUUACCACAACAUGAAUGCUGGGAACUUCUCCG